UGUUCAACCUGUUCUUCAUAUAUCUUGGAUCUCUCAUCUCAACAUAAUAUAAAAUGUUACAUCUUACGUGGCCAAAAUUACAAAAUAUUCUGAUGUCAGCCCUUGCUUGAAAAUCUGAUGGACAUUUUACAACACUAAUACAACAAGCUUCACAGCACGAAGGAAGAAUCUCAAUGCCAUGGUGACUUGUAUGAUGAAUCUCAGUGAUGGACUCACAAUGUUCAGAUGUAUUUGAUGCCGUCAAAUCAGUCUGCAAGCAGCGUCACAUGGUAAGAAUUUGCUCACAGAAGAUCUUGCUCUUUGUUUUUU